ACCUCCGCACAUCACGCCGCUAAACGCAUCAUCCCCUACCCCCAACUACGCCCCGCCUCCCUCCCCACCGUCGUGCUCCCCUCUCCCCACGGACGCCCUCCCCGCCUCCGCUGCUGCCCGCGCAACAGACGCCAUCGUUGCGGUCGCCGAUCCGCUCAAGACCCCAAAGCACGUCGCGGGGACUUGGAAGGCCACCACGGAGCUGACGCCGCUCCCUCCGGACCUGCUGCACCAAGGAAAAGCGGAUCGAGUGGGGCGCGGAAGGAGCCGAGGUCGGCACGCCGCCGUCGCGUGGGCGUGUCGGCGGCAAACAGGGUGUCCCCCAAGAACCGGUCGUGGGCCAAGAAGACGAUGAUGUCCCAUGCAGACGUCACACAAGUUCCUGGUGGCAGCAUGAUGAGUGGGCUCAAGCAGCGACCCGGCGUCAGCUUGACGGCGUGGACUAUCAGGAUAUCAUCCUGAUGCGUGGUGAUCAAUUCAGUCAUGGUGAGAAGAUGAGCUCUGCUAUACUCAAAAGUGUGCACCACAAAGGAACGAGAAACUCUGAAACUAUACAUGGGUCAGUGAUCUAUGGACCAGUUACAUUUCACUUGAUCUUUUUUUAUCUUUCAAGGAUACCAGCAGUUGGUUUCGUUUUCAAACUAAUUAGGUAGAUAUUUGUGCAAGUUUAUAGAAAUUUGUCAUGCUUAGCUAGCUGCUCUAGCAUUCAGUUGAAUCUGUGUUUGGGUUAAUUUUUGAGGUCUGGUCUGGCACAACUAUAUUUCAACGGAGGUAGGAGACACUCAUGAGGCAAGAUCACUUCACAAGGGCUGUUAUAGCAAAGAAAAUCGCUAGGUCUGCAAUUCUGGAUCAAAGACAGAGAAAAGAUCCAAAUUCGUUGAUGGAGUUAGAGCUUCCGUACAGCAGAGUCUUAGCUGCUGGUCACACUUUAACCACACGUCAAUUGCACGAGUGGUGCGGCGCCAUCCUGUACCACAAAUCAUGCGAAGAAUGAUGGGUGGUGUAAUCCUAUGCUAGCUAUAGUGCUAGACUGAUUUCAGAAACUCUUGGAGCUCAUCUUUUGGCCUGAAACACCAAGAACUAACCUGCCACCGCACUGACUACUGAUUAAUACAAUGGAGUUCAUUUGAUCCAUCUGAUAAAAUACCUAUUGGCGAAUAAGCAUGAAAAGUAAUCACCCACUCUUUCCGCAGUGGAAUUCGGCCAUGAUGUUAAGAAGUUCAGUGUAGGCAGGAGAAAAAAAUCUUGGUAAGCUACAAUCUUCUGAUCACAAUCUUACUUUUUUUAUUACUCUUAUUAGUGCUUCCGUUACUUUCUACUGAAUAUGCUCAAUGGGCUAGGUCCCUUUUUACUAAGUUAUUACGUAUAAUGGGGGAUUACUUGAUUUGCUCAUCGUUAUCUGGUUAGCGAUCCCGUGCAAACUCAAGUGAUAAUAUGUGCAUGUUGUCUUUUUAGUCCUACAAAUGUAAUAAGCCAACACCUUUCAUUUAAACAAAGUCGAUAUCACACAUCAAUUUUUGACCUAGAGCCAUUUCAUUGCCAAUAACUAUAAGAGCAGCUUUUGCAUCGUAAUUGAUAGCUCUUCCUCUCAGGUAUGUUCUAUUUUUAGCAUAAUCAUAUCCUAGUGUGUUGUAUAUUCUUUUCUCUAGUGAGGGUCUGUUGCAUGACCAAUUCAUUUCUCCCUUCUAUCUGAUUGCCAGACUGCUGACGACUUUCCGAUAAUUUGUAUGUCUUUUUCGAUUGGCCAUUAGUUUCUGAAAUUAAGGUACUGUGAUUUGGGAGGAAUAGAUGUGUACACACUGUUGUUACAUUGCAGGAGGGUGAUUUGUAGUCAUUUUCCUAUUGUGUAUGCUCUGUUCUACAUGUUCAGAUUGUCCUUUAGCAGCAAUAGGUCUGUGCUUUUUCUUGGAUCUGAUAGUGGACGAGAUUGGAUGUUGGGUUGUGGCUGGAGCUAGCCACCUUGUAUCCCGCGAGUAGUCGCCAUGCCGCUCGCUUUUUCUUUCUUUUCCUUGCUUUGGUCUGCAGAUUUUUCUGUCGAUCUAUGUACAGUUUGGCUGUCAGCCGCUCCUUCUGAAUGAAUCAUGCAGCUCUCCUGCGUUUCCUUCAAAAAAAUAGAGGAGUAUGUUCAUAUGGUCAAGGAUGGUAUCAUCGACCCUGUGAAAGUGAUCCAAACUACACUUCAAAAUGCAGCAAGAACAAGUACUCUGAUGAUGGCAAGAAGCAUAAUGUUAAAUGAAUUGGGUAAUGUUGAGGUUGAUGAUAGCUUGCUUGUUGUACAAAGCCAUGAAACUGGAUUCAAAAAUAAGAAAUGGUCGCUCGACGACGGCGGUGGCGGGCACCGUGGCGUGGACAACGGUGAUCCCCUCGGCGGCGGUGAUCCGCAGCAGGUCAUGCUGGCUCUGCACCAGGCUCGCCGGCAUGAAUUGACCCCCUUCCGCCGCCCUACGCCCCACCAGCUCGGCGUUCACCUCCACAGACGCCUACUGGCACACGAACUUCACCAGAAUUCACUUGCAAGAGAUUAAUGUGUUUGGGGAACUAUAUAUUGGAAAAGUGUGUAUUUUUGCAAGAGAAUAUAUAAUUGAUGCAACUUAUAUGAAAGAGCGUCUGAUAUUUGGAUUAAAGAGGCAUAUUGAUUCAUCUUUUAAAAAAAGGCAUACUAA